rnacentral:rRNA from 1 species
CGCGUAGGCGGCUGGAUAAGUCAGAUGUGAAAGUCCAUGGCUCAACUGUGGAAGUGCAUUUGAAACUGUCCGGCUUGAGUAUCGGAGGGGAGUGUGGAAUUCCCGGUGUAGAGGUGAAAUUCGUAGAGAUCGGGAGGAACACCGGUGGCGAAGGCGACACUCUGGACGAAUACUGACGCUGAGGCGCGAAAGCGUGGGGAGCAAACA